UAAAUUUACAACUUUUGUAAAUAGCAGAUGGUAGAAUUUAACCUACUUAAGCUAGUAUAUAUAUGAUUAAUGAUAUGAGAAAAAAAAUAGUGAUUAUCUAAUAAAGAGUAGGAAUAUAUAUUCAUUAGGCAGAGUGAUUGAGUCUCAAUAUUAAAUAUAUAAAAGUCGGGUUGGGCUACGGUUAAAAUGUUUUAAAAUUCGGAUUUAUCUAAUCCAAAAUAAAUUAAAUACGAAUAUUAAUAUAAUAUUAAAUUUUCAAUAUUUAUUCUUUUAAACAUAGAACAAGCGGAAUUCAGUGUUGGGCAUGAAAUAUUUUAGAAAUCAUAUUAUCUCCGUCAAUAAUAUCAUUAACUCGAGUUUUUUUUUUUUUUUCUUGUGUAUGUGAACACGAAGAUGACGAUAGAGAUAAGAUGGCGUCAAAAAGGUGGUGCGGUUCAUGCGACUCAGGGAGGCAGAUCAUCAACUGCUUCUUGGAAGCUUCGCAAAGGUCAAAAAGAAAGAAGCUUUGUUUUGAUGCGGCGGAGGGGUUUGCAAUGGCGCCGAAAGCAGUAUUGGAAAGAAUAAUGGUAGCACCAUUGGCGGAAGGCCUAGACACCGAUGUCUCCGCUCGAUCAACUAUCCUGAUUUGAAUGGUUUGACUUGGAUUACAAGUUCCUGGGGUAGCCGCACUGAUGCAUCUCACCAAGUAUUGCCGUCCACAGGAAGCUCCGUUGUCCCAUAUUCCAUCCCCUGCCGCUGCGAACAAGUUGUUCGUCGGGAACUGGGAAGCAUCGUUCCCGAAGCAGGCGGUGGCUGCACUCAAAACAAUCAAAAACCUCAUCAGUAUUCCAUCAUAUAAUAUAUAUUAUCAACCUUAAACUGUAAAUAUUAAAUUAUAAUAUAGAAGAUGAUCACUAACGAAGAUAUGGGGGGCUGUAAUGGGCAGCAGUGCCAACAUCGGCCAAAGACGGAUUAAAGAACGUUGCUACGAGGAAGAAGACGAUGAACAGCGAUAGACGCCAUGGACGCUGCUGGUUCGGCAUUUCUCCUGCAAAAUCAAAGAAGACUCCCAUGAAUUUCUUAAUAAGCACACGUUUGUGGGUGUCGGGAGUUCUUAUAAAUAAGCAUGGUGAUGCCAUUUUUUUUUUCAUUCGUUAUUAUCCAUUUUAACUGUUAUAUAGCAUAAAAGGUAAUUGAGUUAUUGCUACGUACGUUAAACAAAUCAAAAGUGUUAAUAAAUACUCUGCAUUCUAAAACAAA